CCAUGCGGCAGAGCUCAGCAAUGGGAGAUGGGGCUGUCCUUCCUCAGGGAACCACAGAAAUCUUCACCUGGGUCUAGACUCCCAAGGCUUCUUUGCAGGGUGAGACAACAAAGGCACAGAGAAUUUGUAACUAAAAAAUGCAGACAAAGAAGUCUUAGCCAUCUUCUAAUCUCGUGGUACCCAAAUACUGGACUGCAGGAAAGGGCAGGCCUUGUUGAUUACGGGAUUGGGAUAUGACUUCCUUGAAUGUUACCCAAAGGUGUUGUCUGUCUCACAGCACAUGAAAUAUUAUGUACCUUUACAUAUGGUCAUCUCUGAAGAUGGAAAUAGGGAUGGAGUUGGUAUUAUAAGACCUGCGCCCGGAUGUGGCAGCAGCAUGAGGCCUGGCACUCAACGCUGUGCAAAGGAUGAAGCGGCAGCUGAAGGUGCAGGAGCAGGAGCCUGCCAGGUACAUGUCCUUGUGCACGAACGAGGUGCCCUCUUUCUAUGUGGCCAUGGUCGAUGUCAACAACGACUUCAUGCUGCUGGCAGCAUGACACCCACAGUGAGGGCCACAGGACACAGGCGAGGGCCACACGAGUCUGCCACAUGCAGUUGCUGAACCCCGGUGGUUGGAGGAGGGAACACUGUGUUCACCUGGCAGGGAGACCCUAGAGAGACCACCUUGGCCAUGACAUCUCCAUCCCUUCCAGACUGGCUCAGGCGUCAGCGAGGUGAAAGCAUCUCUUUUCUACCAGCUGCUGCUGCGGGGCCAGUCCUGCCCAGGUGGGAGGAGUGGCCCACACAGACACAGCAGCUGCUGUCUCUGAAAACUGACCUGCCAGCCAACUGCAGUGGUAUUUCAGGAGUUGCAGAACAGAGUGAAUUUUUUAAAUUUCUUGUUCCGUUCUGAUCAACUCAGACUGACGGCCGAUCAAGGGCCUGGGCGGAGCCAUGAUCCUGCUUUGGGUUGAGCAGGGAAGGAGAGAGAAUCAGCCCUUGGGGUCUGCGUCUUAAAAGUGACUUGGUUUCUAGUCGCUGGGUACCCUGCAGAGCAGCCGGACAUGGGAGGGUGUCUGAGUCCUGUGAGCUUCCUGAAGGCCCCGGUGAGAUACCUGAGAGUUGGGGGACUUGCCCCCCCGCCCCCAUCCGCAGGCGCUUUCGUGAAUUCCCCCUGUUCCCUUCAGGGCUCAACCUUGGCCAAGGCAGGGCCAGUCCUUAGACACUGGGGAUGAGGCGUGCAGAAACUUGAAAGUUCCAAUAUAUUUUUCUGGCCUUAAAUUAGCUGUGGUUUUUGCCCUAAAUCACAGAACUUUGAUCAUAGUAAUGCUUCUUUUAAGCCUUGUUUUUCCUCUUUCAAAAUAACCUGACUUAACCUGUAUGCACAGGGAGCCUCCUUUGAGUCAGCACUUUCAGCUUCCGAUGGCAGAGUCUGCGGUCUCUGCACCCGGUGCUGUGGCUCCAGUGUCGAGCGCCCCCUGGCCAGGGGCGCGGGCGUGGGCCGCCAGGGGCGCGGGCGUGAG
rnacentral:lncRNA from 1 species